GCCCAGCCCAUAAAUUUUUAGGAGGCGGUGGGGUCAAACAAAGGGCAACGGCCCCCUCGCCUCACCCUUGCUCUCUCUGCCCUCGCUCUCGCUCGAUCCCCUUUCUCUCGCCACUCGUUGCCCUAAGAUUCCGGCGGGUUCCGGUUGUUAGGUAACAGGGUUUCAGCGACGGGGGCCACGGGAUGCUAGGGUUCAUCCCCUCGACCUUCAUCCCCUCCACGACAUUGACUACAAAUCGUUGUUCAUCAGAUCGUGGACAAUUCUGGAGGCAACAACGAGGAGGUGUAUGAUGUGGACGUGCUGAACAAAGAUCUCCUGGAGACUCAUCAGUAUUCCAUCAACCUCCUGCAACAAGUGAAUGCCUCGCUACAGGCGGAAAUUAAAAAGCUGCACAGCGAGAGUGCUCAACUCAUUCAGAAGACUAAUAAGCUGAGAGACGAUAGGGAUAAGCUCAUCGAGGUGAGGGAUGAGCUGAAGCAUGAGAGGAAAAUCCUCAAGUUAGAGAGGAACAAGCUCAAGGUGGCGAUAGCUAAUUUCAAAAAAGAUGGAGAGGUUGAUAGAAAUAAGAUUCACCAACUAAGCGUAAUCCUUGACAAAAAGUAGUUCUUUAACUAGCUAGCUAGGCCAUCUUGAGUUGAUGAAUACAUUUUGUGAAGUUCA